AAAUUUAUAUGUUGUUAAAUUUAAUAUCAUCAUGAACUAUUUCAUCAUGUUCCUCUAUUAUUUGAAAAUCUAGGUUCUCUCAAGCAGGACAACAAAUUUUGUUGCAUUCUGCAGCAUUAGAACAAUACGAAUAAUUGCUGAAGUUCUUAGUACUGUAUUUAUUGAUGUUGGCUGAAUUUCUUUUCCAUUCAUUUCAGCUUGUGUAUAAUUUAUGCCAGCUUUUCAUUAUUUAACUGGAUUGCUCCACCUAUUAUUGCUUUCAUUGGUUCCAAAUUUUCCAUGAUGCUUGCUGGAUUUUGUUAUUGGC
rnacentral:lncRNA from 1 species